UAAAGUUGAUUGAGGACUAUGAUCCUAUAUUUUUCGAAUUGUUCGUCGACCAAAAACAGUUAUGGAUCAUGAAAACAACGCUCCUUCGUUAUUAAUGUUGAUUGGGGACUAUGAUUCUAUAUUUUUGGAAAUACCGUAUGAUUUUGCAACCUUAUUGUGGGGAGAACAACUUCCAUAUGUUAAUGUCUUAAAAUUAUUGAUGAUGAUUUAUCGUGAGUCAUUUAGUUAUAAUUUUUGUAUUUAG